AUAACUGAUGACGAUGGCUCAUAGAACAAAAAGUAAGGCAAGUAAAUAAUGUAAUGUCUAAUGUAAAACAGAGAGAAAGAUUCUUUAGUAUUGAUUUGUCUAAACUAACUUCCUGGCUGCCUAGUAUACCUGGUCUUUGAGAGGCAUUUAUUGUUUUUAUCCUUGUCAUUUUCUUCAGUG